CUGAAUGAUCCUCAGUGGUUGAGGUGAUGUAGGACACUGACACAUUACACCCACUAGGAGAAAGACUGGAACUGUUCUAAAGUGGAAAGUUUAGCAACAUAUAUACCAACAUCUUUAAAUACCUUAAAUGCCUCUGGGAAUGUUUUAUUCCACGGGAAUUUUUAGAGAUCUAAAAUCUAAAGUUUUGGGGGUGCCUGGGUGACUUAGUCAGUUAAGCGUUCGACUUUGACUCAGGUCAUGAUUUCACAGUUUUGUGGGUUUGAGGCCCGUGUCAGGCUCUGUGCUGAUAGCUCAGAGCUUGGAGCCUGCUUCAGAUUCUUUAUCUCCCUCUCUCUCUACCGCUCCAUGCUUGUGCUUUGUCUCUCUCUGUCUCUCAAAAAUAAAUAAAUGUUUAAAAAACUGUUUUUAAAUAAAAUCUAAAGCUUUUAGUGAAAAGUUUAGCUAUGAAAAUUUUAUCAUGGUACUGUCAUUUGAGUGAAAUUUGGACAAGCAUAAAUGUUCAUAAUAGGAAUUUACUUAAAUAAAUAAAUUGAACAAAAAUAAUUUCUUCCAUUAUUAUUAAUUAUGCUAUGCAUGAAAUUUUUUGGUAUGGAAAUACUCUCCUGGUGUAUUAAAAGGAACAUACAGAUUAAGAUACAUUAAACAGAGAUUGACAAACAGAGACUAAGAACAAGAUGGAGAGACUCACAGGGACGACUCAGAUGAAUACACACUAAGCUGCAAAGUAUAGUUAUGUGAAGGGAUUUGGGGUGUGUUUUAUUUGUGUUUUUAAUUAUUUGAAAAAAUUUUUUACAAUAAUACGCAAUGUUUCUAACAACAAAAAGAAAUAAAAUGUACUAUCUCAAUUGUGAAUAAUAUUACACCAAAAUAUUAACAAUAGAUACAACGAGAGGACUGUGGGGGGCCUUUCACUUAUAUUUGCACUUAUAAGCCUUUCUGUAUUUUCCUUUAAUGGACAGGUAUAACUUAUGCAAUCUGGGGAAAAAAAAAACAAUGUUAUUUUUUUAAAAAAAGCAACACGGAGAGAUGCUCUCUGUUGCCCUCAUAAUGCAAAUCCAAAGUACAUUUGAAGGUGUAUAAUUUUCUUCAUGAUUUGGCCCUCGCUUACCACAGGUCAGCUCUCUUACUAUAUCCUUUACUGCAGUCUAAGGCUGGACAGAACGACUUUCAGUUCCCUACAAACAGCAAAGCUCAUUCUUUCCUCUGGGGAUUUGCUCCUGCCCACACACCCCUUCUAGCAACUUCUCAACAACCCCUUUACUGGAAAACCUCCCUCACCCAUCACAUGCUGCCUGGUGGGUCAGGUGCCUCGUGCACAACUACAUCAUUUCAUGAUUCCCAUAUCACUUUCUGUUUUCUUGUCUUUCCCCACUCACUAGGUUUUCUAAGUUCCUAUGAGGAAAGCCUUAAUGAGUGAUCAAUUAUUGUUGUCAAAAGAGGUAAUGAAAUAAGAGAAUGAAUGAACGAGCCUCCAUGUAGCAGAUGCUGCCAUGGGCAUCUCAUUUAUUUUCUCUCAUUGAAUACUAACCAAGAUUUCAUGAGGUAGGUAUUAUCAUGUUCCUUUUCCAGUUAAAGAGACCAAAGUCCAAAGGAUUUAUUGGAUCGCCCUCAGCAGCCCCCAGCACACAGUAAAUGCUAAUAAUUACAGAAUAAAAGAACACACAUAGUCUAUGGUAAUUUCUCUAAAGGCAAAACUCAAGGAAGAAUUGAGCUUAUUAUCUGGAUAACUAAAACAAGUGCUUUGUUAUGAGGAUGAGAUUGAGAGUAGAAAUGGGAAUAGGUUGUUUAUUUUACUUUUUCUUUUGGUCCUGAAUUAUUUUAGGUGGCUACAUAGAGCGGCUGGAUUCAUCUGCAUUGAAACCCCUUGAGAAUUUUUAUAGGUUGAACCAAAACAGAAUAAUGAAAUGAACCCUCCUAGGCAGGAAUGCAGAAGCAGACAUGAAAGAUGAUUUCUCUGAAUUAUUUGGCCUUUAUAGAAAGAACCAUGAUGAGUUUCUAGAAAAUGCAUUAUUGAUGUGAUGUAAUAAGAACGUCUCUUGUGUGCCAGGCAUUGUGCUAGGCACAGUCUCCAUUCUCUUGGAGCUUGUAGUGUAGAAGGAAGAUAGAUGAAGUCACACUAAUGAAUGUAUAAGUACAAAUCAAGAUGAGUGCCCUAAAGAAAAAAAGUGUGGUCACAGGAACUCCUCUGUGGUGCGUCAGUCAAGUGGCACACCUGCCAGACCUUUAAACUGUGGUCUCUGGAGAUCAAAGUCACCUCACCGUCUCAUUAACCUUCACUUGGCAUCCUUAAAGGAGAUAACGAGCCCCCCAAACGGCAGGAACUCGUUUUGUUCACUGCUGCCUCUCCAGCACCUAUAACUAUGGAUGGCACCUACUAGGAGUUCCGUUAAAAUCUACUGGAUCCAAAUGAACAUGUAUUUAGCACCUACUUUAUCACAGCCUACCAAAAUUGAGCGCAGGUGUGGUCCUUGGGCCGUGGCAUCAGCAUCACCUAGGAGUCUUCAGAAAUGCAGAAUCUUGGACCCGUCCCUAGAUCAACUGAAGUAGAGUCUACAUUUUAUCACGAUCCCAAGGUCAGGAGAAUAUGUUCUGGAGCUAGACUGUCUGGGUUCACGUCCUGACUCUACCCUUGUCACUGAAUGGUGCAAUGCCAGUUAUUUCAACUCUCUGCCUCAGUUUCCUCACUUAUAGUAUGGAGAGGAUCAUAACUGCCCCUACCUCUCAGGUCACUAUGGAAAGAGAAGAAGGAAUGGAAAGCAACGUGGGUUUCUGAGAGGACAGGCCUGGAAGAAGCAUGCAUCACUUCUGCUGACAUCCGUGGACUCGAUUUCAGUCACGGAGGUUUCGUCUUAAUUGCGGAAAAAAUGACACAGCUGCACUAUAGAAAAAAUGAGAGACUGACAAAGAAGUUGCAUAACUUUUCCAAUGUCGUACAACUGGAUUUGGGAUCCAGAUGAUUCACCUCCAGAACGCUGGCCUUCAGCAUACUGAGGGAACGACAUUGAAAGGUCUGGAGUGGGGUCUAGAAAUAGAUCCUAUUUGUUUGCUUGCUUGCUUGUUUUAAACUCCUGAGAAGAUUCUAAGGAUCCACAAGUUGGGAACCCACUGAUCUGACAGAGGUUUUCAGUCUCUGUGUUGCCUGAUUGGCCCCAUGCUGAAAUGCGCCUGUAAAAAUAAGUAAGAAACUUCAGAUGUAUACAAGACUUAAAAGGCAAGACUACCACUUUUAACAAUGAGGGAGAGAUCAUCUUUCCAGUCCUUUUUCGACCAGCUAUUGAUGAAGAGAUGCCAUAACACCUGGAGGAAAUUAGGAUUCUCCCUAAUCCUUUCAACACAAACAUGUGACAACAAGAUGUUCUGGCUGUUUAAAAAAAAUCUAAGGGGAACCUGGCUGGCUCAGUUGGAAGAGCAUGCGACUCUCAAUCUAGGGGUUGUGAGUUCGAACCCCACGUUGGACAUAGAGAUUACUAAAAACGAACUAACUAAAUAAAAAAAUACAGUAUACAAUUCAAUGUGUUCUUUUUUAAAAUCUAUACUGCCUUGGCUCAGAGAUAAAGCAAGAUUUUUUAUCACACAGCUUUAGACUGUGGAGUGUGAAAAAUUAAUGAAAUUUCAUUGUAGAAUAAAUGGGCUUUUGAAAAUCUAACUCAAAAUGAGCCAUUGCUGGUUUCAUGUGGCAUCUAACUAGCAGUUUCUGACGUGGCCUUGUCUGGUUUCCCACUGAAACACCCAUGGAAACUCAGAGAACAGUGAACCCUCAGACAGCUCACCUAUUACUAGAGUAUGUAUGGCACCCGCACUAACUUAAUAGUGGAGUUAAUAUUUGAAGAGCCGAAACCUCCUUUGGGGGAGCCAACAUAAUAUUUUGUGACUGAAAAAGCUUCAUCCCUCCCACCCUGCCUCAGAACCUGAGUCUCCCUCAGUCAUCACUUGGACAAGUGUUCUGCCUUUCUCCCAUCAGGGAGGCCAAAACCAACCUUUUAAACCAACCUAGUUAGAAAAUACUGGGUAUUUUGAUUUUUAUCUCUGUAUUUAUAUUUUUGGCAAUUGCUUCUAUAUGCUUUUGGCCAGUACUAUGGUGAAAUUAUCUUAAGUUUAAAUUAUGAUAGAAGGAAUUCAAUUUUGUUCACUGAUGCAUGUCCAUUACCUAGAACAGUGCUCUGCAAAGAGUAGACAAUUAAUAUUCAUUGUUUGCAUAUUCGUAAGUAAUUAGUUUUAAAAAGUCAAUAGGACCACAGUUAACUUCUAAUCACACUUGUGCUUUAAUUUUUGAAGAGAAUUUAGGCACAGAAUUCUUUAAUAAUGAUUAAAUAAUUUCAUAAAGAAUUUUAUUAUGAAAUUCACCAAGAGCUGAGAGAAAUAAAAACCAGGAGUUGAUUGAAAGAAGGAAUAGUCCAUUGAACAACUAGAGUACUAAAAUAGCCUUUGUUUAUUAGUGACCUUCAAGGAAUCAGCCCUAUGUCCUCUCCCCGCCUACCAAAGCAAGUGUUAAAAAGCCCACUCAUUUGCCAGAGCAGAGCUGGGCUCCCAGUCAAUGCCACUGACAGUGGAAGGAAGAAGAAAUAAUUACUUCUUAAAGCCACACAUUAAUUUAAGCACUUGGGAAAAUUCAGUUUGUGAAAAAUAAAGAAUGAAAUGGGAACAAAAGAAAAACCAUGUUUCAUGUCAGAAUGGAAAGGUUAGAGACAGAAACAGCGAACAGAAUGGAGUGUGUGGAAACACAGUGAGCUGGAACCAGUGGGAAGACCAGCCUCCUGCUGCAGCAUGGCUGGCAUUCACCUCCCCACCUGUGAACGGGGACGUUACACUCUGCACACUGCUACCACCCGCUUUCCCUCUGUAUAGACAAGGUGGGGGAUGCUCACUAACCCCCUGGCAACCUACUUGUUUGAGGAAGGACGUUAAAAUCAUGACUACUGUUUGAGGGUUUGAGGGCACAUGGAGUUAAAGGCAGCUCUAGGGCCAUCUUUAUCCUUCUCUUUUCAACCCUGCACCCAACUCCUGUGAUUUCUAUGUAUAAAUCACCUUCUUCCUUUACUUCCUCAGCUUUGAAAGAUAAACAUGAAAUACUAGAUUAAAAUGUUUUUAAUUCUGCCAUUUAAAGGUGCUUUGGGGGUCGCCUGGGUGGCUCAGUUGGUUAAGCAUCCCGCUCCAGCUCAGGUCAUGAUCUUGAGGUCGGUGAGUUCCAGCCCCAUGUCGGGCUCUGUGCUGACAGCUCAGAGCCUGGAGCCUGUUUCAGAUUCUGUGUCUUCCUCUCUCUCUGACCCUCCCCCGUUCAUGCUCUGUCUCUCUCUGUCUCAAAAAUAAAUAAAAACGUUAACAAACAAAGGUGCUUUGGAAUAUAGGUUUUAUUAUUAUUUAAUAUGGCAAGGCCACCAGAUCUGAAGUCAGCUGCCACUGAAAAAUAGUUACACCUAUAGAUCCCAAGAGGCGGGGGUGUGUCAUGCAGUGGAGGGCUAUGUGGGGAUGUGCCAGGGUCAGUCAGGAGGCAGAGGGAGAGGGGACAGUUGUGAACCAGAGCUUUUACUGUGAUUUCUGUAGGAAGGAAUGGGCCUGGCAUUGUAAGCAGGCUUAGGAUUGGCUAGUUUGGACAAAUUCAGUGGGCUCUGGGGCACAGGGUCUGUCCCUAGUUGUCUGGUACCUCGUCCUGGAGUACUUACGCAAGAGGAUAGCGGCCCAAAGUGUGAAAGCCAGAGACAGGAGGUGGUGGGGGAUAAUGGCUCUGGACUGUUGGUUUGCAUUUGAAAGGCAUGCUCAAUGUCCAGUUGUUAACUGUCUCUAGGUAUUGGCUAGCCCUGGGAGGGAUACUUCCUCCAGGGUCAGCCAGGCCCCAGAUGUCAAAGCAUCAGAAUACAGAAAAUAAAAGACAUGUUUCAUACAAAAGGCACUUGCAUAGAUUCAGUUUACCGGAGUAAUAAACCCAGCAUUUCAGCUGGUGACUUCCAUUAUGAUGUGGAACUCCAGUAUUGAAAGGUCGGGUUACCCAUACAUUCAAAACCAUAAAAAGGGUUUCAAGCUGGAUGUGAAGAAACUACUUCUAUUGCAAGGGAACCAUCCUCAUGCUUGCCCUGGUGAUUUGCUCUAUCUGAGUACUAAGAAAAAUACUUCAGGAGGAUGCUUUAUGCUUUAUUAUUGACCAUUAACUUGUCAUACCAUGAAGGAAAAUGAUGAUUUAGGACUGCUGAUAAGAGCAAGAAGAUUUUCUCUUUAUCACAAGGUGGAAAUCCAACCUAGUGCCUCAAUAGCAGAAGAUCUUACCACUCAAUAGAUGUUCAGAGCCUUGCAGAAAUGGACCUGCAGGAAAUUACUUUCAUGGAGGAGGAAAAAAAAUGACAUCAGGUUAUUGGUCCCAAAUGGCUCAUCCUAACCUCCAAAAAUAAAAUACAGAUGAAGAUGUCAGGAGAUAGGAGACAUUCAACCACAUUUAAACUAAGACUUUCUACCAGCCUAUUAUUGGAGUUUGGAAGGAAUUCUCUCUAGCACUGAAGCUGAUGGAAUUGGAUAGAAAAAUAUGAUCAGCGACUCAUUCAAUGAAUGCCAGUUUGCCAUAAGGUAGGAAGUGCUUGCCUUCAUCUUGCACAGUUUAUGUUCUGGUUACUAAAACCCAAAAAGGGGAUGUAUAGAUUUUUCUUCCUCUGGACUGAAUAGGCAAGCAAAACAAAAACAGAAACAAAAUAUGCCCAUGGAAAAAAAGGUAUUACCAAGGGAUAAAGAAUGCCAAACAAGAUGUCAAGAACUCCAGAGGAAAAACAAGCUUCUGAAAUGGCUUUAUUUCAGAAACCAAAGGAAAUUGUUAAAAACUGUCAACCUCAGCAGGAUUAAAGGAGACAUAUCCUUCAUGAGAGAGAAGCAGAAAAAUAAAAAGAAAUAGACGAGUCUGAGAUGCAAAGGGAAACAAAUAAGGAAGGUAUUCAAGAAAACUAAAAAUGUAACACCAGAACCGACACAAUUACUGGGAAAGAACAAAACUGCUAAUUCAGAAAAUCAAAUCAGUAAUGGGGCAAGAUUAAGAAACUCUUCCAGAAAACAGAGAAAGAGAACAAAGAAAUAAAAAAUGACAAGACAGAAGAUGAUAAUAAGUGUCUAGGACAGAAAAUAGAGAGUUAACAGAAUAAUUAUAUGGUGUACCUGAAGAGAAAUUAGAAGGACAGAACAAGAGCAAGAAUCAGACACAAAUGUAUAAAACUUUCAUAGACCAGAAAAUACGGGGGUUUAUCACAUUUCUAUAAACUUAUAUACAUUUUGACAAAAUAUUUGCUUUACAAGAACUACAGGAAAAUAAAAAAUAAGCCUAUAAAUUGAAAAGUGGGUUAUGUGCAAAAGAUAAAAAUCAGGUUGACCUUAGCCUUUUCCUCUGUGACACUAAAUGCUGAAGACAAAAUAUUGGCAGAAUUUUGAGGUAGAAAAUUGAAAUGUAAGAGUUUUUUCAUAUGCAGGAUUGUCUUCUCACAGUGUGAGGUCAACACAAAAAUAUUUCCCCAGUUGUAAGGGCUCUGAAAAUAUAUUAUUAGCUCCUUACCUUUUUAUUUAAAAAAGGAUAUAUUCCUUCUGAAUGAGAGAAAAACAGGAAUAAAGAACUCAAGAUCAUAGAUUUAAAGUCAGCCAAUAAUGAUAUGUGCCAUUUAGUUUCAGUAACUAUUGAAAGUUUAGUUACAAUAGCAAACGAAAUUCUAAAAUAAUUUUUGACAGAGGAAGAUUUAUAUGACAAAACAAUAAUUUAAUUCCCAAAAUCUUUAUAAAAAACUGUUUCAAAACCUAGGAAUUAGGGUGAUUAUGGUGGAGAAAAAGGUUUCUUAAUUCCACAUUUCAUUUAAAAGGACUCAGAGGAUUGCUUUUCAUUUUUUAGUUUGAUGUAGGAAGAUUAUAGUUUUUUUAUGUUUAUUUAAAGAAACCUUAAAGAUGGGGUGCCUGGGUGGCACAGUCGAUUGAGCAUCUGACUGUUUUGGCUCAGGUCAUGAUCUCACAGUUCAUACAAUCUACCCUUCGUCAGGCUCUGUGCUGACAGCAUGGAGCCUGCUUGGGAUUAUCUCUCUACUUCCCUCUCUGCCCCUCCCCUGCUCGCACACACUCUCUCUCAAAAUAAAUAAAUAAACUUAAAAAAGAAAAAAACGUUAUGGGGUGCCUUGGUGGCCCAGUCAGUUAAGCUACCAACUCUUGGUUUCAGCUCAGGUCAUGAUCUCAUGGCUUCAUGGGUUCGAGUCCUGCAUCGGGCUCUGUGCUGGCAGCAUGGAGCCUGCUUGGGAUUCUCUCUCUCUGCCCCUCCCCCACUCGUGCUGUCUCUGUCUCUCUAAAAAUAAAUAAACUUAAAAACCUUAAAGAUAACUAACAGCAACACAAAAUGACAACAUAUAUUACCUUCAAAUCAGUGAAGAUAAGUGCAGACAUAUUGUGAUGUGAUCCUAGUUUUAGUUAUAAAAAAUGUCUAGGAAAAAUGUAUGUAACAUGUAUUUUUUUUCAAUUUUCACUGUUUCUAAAAUGAACAUAUAUUAAUUUUAAAUGUAAAAAACAUUUUAAAGGAGAUAUCUUUCAUAUAUAAAUGAAAAGAAACUCAUUGGCAUUUUCUAACCAGUUUCUUUGUUUGCUCUGCACAAUUCACCAUCAGAACUGUCCUUAUGUGCAGAAUCAAUUAAACAUCCCAUGAGAAAAUGGGCUUAGUGAAAACUUCCAUCUGGACUUUUGGAACAAAUAACCUGCAUCACUUUAAACAAUGAUUUGCAUAUCAAACAUCGUUUGCACAAUAUUUGAACUGAGGUUACAUAGAGGCAUCUUCUUUUUUUUAAAUCCUAGAAAAGCAACUAUUCACGUACUUUGAUUAGAUAGUGAUCUCUUUGAAGCCUGAGAUUUUUUUUUUUUUAUUCCCACUACCCAGCCCAGAGCCUGGUUAUAUGUUUGUCACAUUCAAGUGAAAUGAAAUGACAUAAAUGAAAAUAUCCUGCCAGAUGAUUGUUGCUGUCACCAUGUUCAUUCCCAUUAUUGAUCACAAGGCAUUGAUGUCACAGCCUCAAACUUCUCUAGUCGCAUUUUGGGCCAUUCCAAACUAUUUCUCCCUCCAUAUUUUUGUAAAGUUUACUCACACCUGCAAAAC